rnacentral:rRNA from 1 species
UACGUAGGUGGCGAGCGUUGUCCGGAUUUACUGGGCGUAAAGAGCGCGCAGGCGGUCGUUCAAGUCGCGUGUGAAAGCCCCCCGGCUCAACUGGGAGGGUCAGCGCGAUACUGAUCGACUCGAAGGCAGGAGAGGGUAGUGGAAUUCCCGGUGUAGUGGUGAAAUGCGUAGAUAUCGGGAGGAACACCAGUGGCGAAGGCGACUACCUGGCCUGAUACUGACACUGAGGCACGAAAGCGUGGGGAGCAAACAGG